rnacentral:lncRNA from 1 species
CACAAAUAUGAACAGAAUACUUUUGCCAUUGUUUUUUUUUACAGAAAUUUUUGGCGAUGGACUGGGAAUGCCUUGGAGGUCGAACAGUUGAAUGAAAUCGACCGGUUGGUUGGUGACCACCGCUCUAGAAAGUUGAGUGAAGUUUAAUCUACUGUUUCUCUCUGUGGGCUGAUAUUUCUGCAAGGCAGUCUCUGCGAGCUGCUCGACAGUCUCGGGGCUACUACGGGCACAGAGGGAACAUUGGUCGCGGGUUGAGCUGCUUUAAAACAACCUGUCAUCGGAGUAGGCCUAGAUUCAAUCAGAUCAAGCAUUAACCAGGAAUAGCAGACACCAGCAUUGCGGAUGUUUUGGCGGUGUUGGGGUGGAACUGCAUUGGAAGCUGUCAAAUUGAAGACCCUCAAUUUAUCACCGCCAGCUGUCCUGCCAGGUACCACAACGCUAAGUCCAUGCUGUCCUGGGAGAUGCAGCUUUCCCCCUACAUGAGAAAGUCAUAGCCCUUAUCCAGGUGUCCAUCUCAAUGAAUCUAGGCGUAGCUACAACUACCACCACUCUCGACGGAGAGUCAUAGAGAAUGCAUUUUGGCAUCAUGGGCGGCAAGGAGGAUGAGGAUUCUUGUUCGGCCAAUCAAGUGUACCCAUAACAGCGAGAAGUACAGUAGUGGUGCUGAGCGUGCUGCAGCAUCCCCUGAUAAAUCAGAAUAAUACAUUUCUAUUUAAAUCCUUUUUAAAUUAGAUUUUUUUUUUUUUCAAAUUGUUUCUUCUCACAAAAGUAGUGCACGUGACCUUUACUACUCUCCCUUUACAGUAGUCUCCCCCCCACAGAAGGAUGUGGCCUUCCACAACUACCUGUCCUCCAUGGAAGGCAUGUGGCCCACCACAACUACCUGUCCUCCAUGGAAGGCAUGUGGCCCACCACAAC